CAGUUCCGCUACUUUGCUAGCCACGGAGAACUUGCUCUGCAGCAGCUACAGCCAGUGCAGGGCCCCCAGCCCAGGAUGAGAACAGGACCACACCUGGCUCCUCCAGGCAGCCGCUGGACUCCAGGACACUGACUCUGCAAGAUUUAUUUUGACCACAUUAUAAUACGAAUGAGGGGAAAACUGUCUGAUGGAAUAUCCAGUCCACACUUGGGAACUGACUGCUUGAAGAACAUUCUCAUUUCCAGAUUGGAACAUGCCCUUCCAGAAUGAGAAUUCAUUCAGCCUCUCUGCCCAGUUCUGAUCUGUAAGCUUCCACCUCGAUUCCUCAAUUCCACGUAGCCCAGGUCCCACACCAGCUUUCCGGCCAUCAUACUCGCCCCUGGGGAAAAAUGAGAGAUAUCCAAAUGUGAGAAAGAACGGCAAUCACCACUAUCAACAGCUAACAUUGACGAGACUCCAGCUCUGUACCAGGUAAU